GUGCCAGCCGCCGCGGUAAUACGUAGGUGGCAAGCGUUGUCCGGAUUUAUUGGGCGUAAAGCGCGCGCAGGUGGUUUCUUAAGUCUGAUGUGAAAGCCCACGGCUCAACCGUGGAGGGUCAUUGGAAACUGGGGAACUUGAGUGCAGAAGAGGAUAGUGGAAUUCCAAGUGUAGCGGUGAAAUGCGUAGAGAUUUGGAGGAACACCAGUGGCGAAGGCGACUGUCUGGUCUGUAACUGACACUGAGGCGCGAAAGCGUGGGGAGCAAACAGGAUUAGAUACCCUGGUAGUCC
rnacentral:rRNA from 1 species